UCUCCCUGGCUCUUCCUAGGUGAGGGCUCUGAUGGAGAGGGUGAAUGAGGGCAAGAGCUCAGGGCAGCCUCUGGCCGAAGGCCUGUGGGAACUGAGGCCCUCAGGCUGAUAGCCUCCACGGAGCCGGGUCCUGCCAACAAUGGGCAUCUGGCAGAAAGAGAAGCACUGAAAUUGUCAGAGGAUCUACUCACUACAUCACUCUGGUGACCUGCAGGGAAGCCAUGCACAUGGACUUCCCAACAAUGUCAAGUAGCAGGUGACUACACAAGAUGGGGGAACGUCACCACAGCCAGCUCUCCAGACCCUCCACAGCCCACUUUGUGUGAGGGCCACCAACUGGAAAAUUGCUCUCCCUUGUCAUCGCAUCAAUAAAUCUCCAUCCAAAACAUCUCUCUCAGGUAGCGUUGCACCUGGCAGAUUUUGAUUCUCAGCUCACCUGCCUCUCUAUUCGGCUCAUGCAGGUUUGGGGCAUCAGUGUCGAGCAGGAGCCUUUAGAAGAGGGUGUGAUUGCUUUCAUCAACCUCUGAGCUAACCCACACCCCUCAUGCCUAGAGUGGGGAAAAGGUUGGGAUUUAUUAAGUGCCAGGUGAUAAACCUGACAAGACAGCUGGGACAUUGUUUAGGAAAUUGGAGUUGCAAUCUCACUCCUGGUGACUGCUUGUUGAUUGGCUUAAAGAAUGUAAUGAUUUCAAGAGGUCUGGAGUCCAGAAGCCUUGACCCCCUGCCUGGCACUUUUGCAGACUCGUUUUACAGAUGCAUUAAUUGAGACCCUAAAGGAUGGAAUAAUGAAGUGUCUUUCCCAAAGUCAGAGAGAAAAUUAGUGACAGAAGAUGGGCCAGAAUUCAGAAUUGUGAAGUGUUAUAUCCAAACUCACCACCUCCCCCUGCCCCCACCACACACGCGCACGCGCCCGCGCACACACACACACACACACUCCAACUAGACCCUCUCCUUCUCUGAGAGAUAGCAUCCUUCACGGAGGUACAUUACCCACAGGUAAACAUCAGAUCCAAUGGCCAGAAUCUGGUUGGUGCUGUCCAUUAAGCGGUGACCUUGGCGUUCUCUCCUAGAAACUAGAAUUGUUAGUGGGAAUGUUGUUCUACAUACUCAUUUUCCUAUAUCACAUGCUUCCAUCAUCUUAUUCUCCUCACCAAGUGGGACAUUAGACCGCUUGGAAAAUUUUUACACAUGCAUAUUGUAUCCAUGUGUGCAGUA